UUAGGGUGCUGUGUGAGUGUUAGGGUGCUGUGUCCUGUGUAUAUUAGGGUGCUGUGUGUGUGUUAGGGUGCUGUGUGAGUGUUAGGGUGCUGUGUGUUAGGGUGCUGUGUGAGUAUUAGGGUGCUGUGUGAGUAUUAGGGUGCUGUGGGAGUAUGUUAGGGUGCUGUGUGUGUGUUUGGGUGCUGUGUGUGUGUUUGGGUGCUGUGUGAGUGAGGGUGCUGUGUAAGCAUGUUAGGGUGCUGUGUGAGUGUUAGGGUUCUCUGUGUGUGUUAGGGUGCUGUGUGAGUGUUAGGGUGCUGUGUGUGUGUUAGGGUGCUGUGUGAGUGAGGGUGCUGUGUGAGCAUGUUAGGGUGCUGUGUGAGUGUUAGGGUUCUCUGUGUGUGUUAGGGUGCUGUGUGAGUAUGUUAGGGUGCUGUGUAAGUGAGGGUGCUGUGUGAGAAUGUUAGGGUGCGGUCAGAGUGUUAGGGUGCUGUGUGCCAGGUGCUCCCAGAGGUAUUCCUCACCAUUUCUUUGGGGCCAUGAGGAUUGGGGUAUUGGUGGGUCCGAACUGGUCAGCCGGUAGGGGAGGAUUCUGUUUGCGGAUGUCCGGGAUGGUCAGG